UUUUAUGGAGAGUUUGAUCCUGGCUCAGGACGAACGCUGGCGGCGUGCCUAAUACAUGCAAGUCGAGCGAACAGAGAAGGAGCUUGCUCCUUUGACGUUAGCGGCGGACGGGUGAGUAACACGUGGGCAACCUACCUUAUAGUUUGGGAUAACUCCGGGAAACCGGGGCUAAUACCGAAUAAUCUAUUUCACCUCAUGGUGAA
rnacentral:rRNA from 1 species